GCACCGGGGAGGUGGGGUCUUACCGGGAUCAAUAGGCAGGCAGUCACUUUCUCUUCAUAGGAAUCUUGUCGAUUGGCCUGGCUGCUGCCUACUACAGCGGAGAUAGCCUGGGCUGGAAGCUCUUCUACGUCACAGGCUGCCUGUUUGUGGCUGUGCAGAACUUGGAGGACUGGGAGGAAGCCAUCUUCGACAAGAGCACAGGGAAGGUUGUUUUGAAGACGUUCAGCCUCUACAAGAAGCUGCUGACUCUUUUCAGAGCUGGCCACGACCAGGUGGUGGUCCUGCUCCAUGAUGUCCGUGAUGUGAGCGUGGAGGAGGAGAAGGUCCGGUACUUCGGGAAAGGCUACAUGGUGGUGCUCCGGCUUGCGACGGGCUUCUCCCACCCCCUCACGCAGAGUGCAGUCAUGGGCCACCGCAGUGAUGUGGAAGCCAUCGCCAAGCUCAUCACCAGCUUCCUGGAGCUGCACUGC
rnacentral:sRNA from 1 species